rnacentral:rRNA from 1 species
CCUACGGGGGGCAGCAGUGGGGAAUAUUGGACAAUGGGGGGAACCCUGAUCCAGCCAUGCCGCGUGUGUGAAGAAGGCCCUCGGGUUGUGAAGCACUUUCAGUGAGGAAGAACGCCUGGUGGUUAAUACCCAUCAGGAAAGACAUCACUCACAGAAGAAGCACCGGCUAACUCCGUGCCAGCAGCCGCGGUAAUACGGAGGGUGCGAGCGUUAAUCGGAAUUACUGGGCGUAAAGCGCGCGUAGGUGGCUUGAUAAGCCGGUUGUGAAAGCCCCGGGCUCAACCUGGGAACGGCAUCCGGAACUGUCAAGCUAGAGUGCAGGAGAGGAAGGUAGAAUUCCCGGUGUAGCGGUGAAAUGCGUAGAGAUCGGGAGGAAUACCAGUGGCGAAGGCGGCCUUCUGGACUGACACUGACACUGAGGUGCGAAAGCGUGGGUAGCAAACAGGAUUAGAUACCCUAGUAGUC